CUGUGCAGCAGCAGACUGUUUAAACUAAGUCCCCGCUUGUAUCGGAGAUUCCUGUUCAGGGCUUCAGGCUGCUCUUUGCCACUGGGGAUCUGACGUCACAAAGUAGGAGCCACGCUGCAGUUCUAGGGCCGGGACCAGUGCAAGAAAGUGCUGUGGACAGCAUCAUUGCAGCACUCAACAAUCAAGCAACAAGAAUACAUCCUCGGCAGUAAUAUAAUGUCUCCAGGACUCCAGUCCUCCACCUAGUGAUUCCCAAUUUAUGUGGUAUU